UACGUAGGGUGCAAGCGUUGUCCGGAAUUAUUGGGCGUAAAGAGCGUGUAGGCGGCCAGGUAGGUGGGUUGUGAAAACUGGAGGCUCAACCUUCAGAGGUCGACCCAAACCCCCUGGCUAGAGUCCGGAAGAGGAGAGUGGAAUUCCUGGUGUAGCGGUGAAAUGCGCAGAUAUCAGGAAGAACACCCGUGGCGAAGGCGGCUCUCUGGGACGGUACUGACGCUGAGACGCGAAAGCGUGGGUAGCAAACAGG
rnacentral:rRNA from 1 species